AUUCGAUUUGAUGAUUCAAACGUAUGUAUCAGUCGAAACAACAACAAAAUUGUUUCCAAACAAAUAGUCCAAUGACUCUAACUACAAUCACGAAUAGACUAAUAAAUUUAGAUGACUUUGAAUGUUUAGUUGGUCGAAAAAAAACCACAAAAGUCCAACGUGUAAAGCAGCUGGGAAAACAUAAAGGUAAUGAAAUCCAAAUUUUCCGUAUGUUGGACCAAUUUUGUGAACGAAAUAUUUAUAUCGAAUAAAUAUUUUGUUGAUUGGAUGCAUUUCAUUCGUUAAAUUAACUGUUUCAUCGGCUAUUUCACUGCCAGUCAAUUAUUGAAAUCCUUGCAUUUUUGUGCAAAAUCUUUUUAACGUCACUGGUCAAUAGCUUCGUAUUACUAAGAUAAAUAUAUCUCGUCA